AAUUUGAAGAAGGAUACUUUGGGGUUGGCUCUUGUCUAUGUUCCUUGGAACAGGACGUCACAGAGGGUGAGAAUCCCGUGCGAUGAGAGUCCCAAUUCCGUGUAAAGUUCCUUCGAAGAGUCGAGUUGUUUGGGAAUGCAGCUCUAAGUGGGUGGUAAAUUCCAUCUAAAGCUAAAUAUUGGCGAGAGACCGAUAGCGAACAAGUACAGUGAUGGAAAGAUGAAAAGAACUUUGAAAAGAGAGUGAAAAAGUACGUGAAAUUGUUGAAAGGGAAGGGCUUGAGAUCAGACUUGGUAUUUUGUAUGUCUUGCUUUCGGGCGGGGCCUCUGCAGUUUACUGGGCCAGCAUCGGUUUGGGUGGUAGGAUAAUUGCGAAGGAACGUGGCACUGCUUCGGUGGUGUGUUAUAGCCUUUGUCGAUACUGCCUGCCUAGACCGAGGACUGCGUCUUUUGACUAGGAUGCUGGCAUAAUGAUCCUAAGCCGCCCGUCUU
rnacentral:rRNA from 1 species